rnacentral:lncRNA from 1 species
UUAGGUUAAUUUUUUUUAAUAUUUAUCGAAAUAUGUUAGUUUUGGAGAGAGAAAUAGAAAAUACGUCUAGUAGAAUGCGUUUUCAGCUAAGCAGGAUAUGUUUUUCGAAAAUGCGUUUUUACAAAAACACAUUUUCUUUUUAACCCAUUAGCCCUUUUAGUUAGAUGAUUAAUUAUUAGUGAUUUUGUCUUUAAAUUCCGAGUUUGAUUCCUUUCCUACUCACAUUUUUAUUUUUU